GUCUUCUUGUCAGUAGUAUUUUUGUCGCAGUAACGUUCGGACAGACAAUUUAACUGCAUUGUAAUCGUAAGUGCUAAGUCAAUUUGUCUCAGUGAUUAGAAUAGCAAUAAUUUAUUUACAAGGUGUUGCAGAAAACUUGUUUGCUGCAUUUGCACGUCAGUACUCGUAUUCUUCACCUUAACCUAGGACAACAACACACCCAGCCACUGUAACCGCGGAGCGCGUGAGAGAAUAAAACUCGUACUCCUCUACUACAACAAAACCGACAGCUCAAACUUCAAUCGCACUCAAUACUAGCUUUUGAAAGCUACAGACACCCGAGCGCAACCACUGUAAAACAAUAUGGGAAAUCCACUGUGGUUUAUCUUUUGGUUUUUGGUCUUCUGGUUCAUCUCAUUCUUUGUGGCUUUCUUGGCUGCGUUCCUAUACAUAAUAUGCUAUGUGUUGGAAGUGCUGUUUAGUGGGUUAUCGGGUCUCAACAACCUUUUGUUGAAAGGCAUACAAUUCCCCCACUACUGCGCUGUGGGUAUGAUUGAAUGCAAGUCGCCGUUAUAAAUGUUGGUCUAAAGUAAAAUAGUACUUGUUUCUUUUGUUAUUCUUGUAUUGUUAGUGUCUAUAUACAUAUAAAUAUUUAAGCUUUACAGUUAAAUUGUGGGAUGAAUUUGUUUUGUCCAAAUCGUAUAUGAGGCCAUUUAACUAUUUACAUUAAAUGUAUUUUUCUACGCAGUCUAAAAUAAUUUAUUGUAAUAAAAAUGAGCUAAAAUAAAAUUUAUUCAAUAUUGAGUUCAUGUUUUAUUAAAGAAAGUUCUGUAUGUUAUGAGAAAAGGUCAUACAAAAAGAAAAGUAUCGAAUGUUAGGAGAUUGUUAAAAUCGGCUCAUUGUGUUGCCUAAAACUCUAAAGUGUUGAUGAAUAAAAUGCUCAUAAACUGACAAAGUGACUGAAAAAACUGUCUUUUCCAAUGCGGGACAGAUGCUCCAUCUUUUUCCGGUGGUUUGCUUUUGAUUUUUUUGUAGGUUUCUCAAUCUGUCAGCUCCAUUCUGCAGGCAUCGGAGAGGACUAGUGGGGAAAGGACCUGUGCAGAAAAUCUGAUUGAUAUCUCAAAAUUGAUGGACUAGUUCGCGUGUAUACAGACAUGAGGUCGGACAAACAGAUGUGGUGCUGUUCAUUUUUAUAUACUAUACUUACCCGGCCAAGGGCUGUUAUUUUAGUAAUCUAACCCUGUUUAAAAAAGAAAAAAACCCUGUUUGAAAGAGAAAAAAAUAACUCAUAUGCAACACAUAACUUUUUUACACAUUCCAUUUUUUGAUAUUUCAAAUCAUUCUGAAGUGUGUCAAACAAUAUUUUUUUUAUUUUACAUUCUAUUUUUAAAAACUUAAUUCUUUUGAGAAAUAAUUUUCUGUCGCCAAGCGAAAUUUACUUUUUUGUGACCUCGGCAGAGUAAUUUUCUUUGAAAAGCACCAACUACGUUAUGAAGAACCCGCUCUGGUUUAUUUUCUGGCUAUUGGUUUUACUUUUCUUCGCAUUUUUUGUGGCUUUCUUCGCAUCAUUCUUUUACAUAUGGUUCUAUAUGUUUGAGGCAUGCUGUGGAUGCUGGAAUGGCAUAAACAAUUUUCUUUUGAAAUGCGUACAAUUUCCACAUUAUUGCGCCGAAGCCAUGCUUGAAUGCAGAUCUCCAUGCUAAAUACUGACAUUUUAUAGUAAAUGCUUAUACAAAUGUAAAUGUAUACAUAUUUGUAAUAUAUAUAUUAUAUGGAAAACUUAUAAAUAAAAAAGCUUAUAACGAGA